rnacentral:snoRNA from 1 species
ACCCUCCAGACCUCUUACCCAUCAGACCUAAACAUUGGUCUGAGUGGUUAUCAAAAGAGGGGGGAGGAAAAGUGGAAGUGACUUGGAUUCAUUGUGACAAGUUAGUUUUAAACAAAU